rfam:Lactobacillus secaliphilus strain DSM 17896 NODE_24, whole genome shotgun sequence.
UCGUUUAGCAAGCGACAUCGAUCUGCAUCGUUGGUACUUGCUAAGGAGUACUUCAUCAAAGCAGCGUUUCGCCGUGCCCACACCGAGACCCUGCUUUUUUUA